rnacentral:tRNA from 1 species
GGGCUGUUAGCUCAGUUGACUCUCUACCAAUGAAUAGGCAGUUGGCUUGCUCUUUUUUAGCAAUUGGUCGAAGGUUCGAAUCCUUCACGGCCCACCA